rnacentral:rRNA from 1 species
GUUGAUGCGCUCCUUGAGGAUCUUGAAGAUGAGGUCCUGCUUCUUGAGCAGGGCGUAGUCGCCGAUCCCCUCGUUGUCGGCGACCUCGUGAAGCUCGGGAAUGCUCAUCUUCUGAAGGUCU